UGGGGAAUAUUGCACAAUGGGCGAAAGCCUGAUGCAGCAACGCCGCGUGAGUGAUGAAGGCCUUCGGGUUGUAAAGCUCUGUCUUCUGGGACGAUAAUGACGGUACCAGAGGAGGAAGCCACGGCUAACUACGUGCCAGCAGCCGCGGUAAUACGUAGGUGGCAAGCGUUGUCCGGAUUUACUGGGCGUAAAGGAUGCGUAGGCGGAUACUUAAGUCAGAUGUGAAAAUCCCGGGCUUAACUUGGGAACUGCAUUUGAAACUGGGUAUCUAGAGUGCGGGAGAGGAAAGUGGAAUUCCGAGUGUAGCGGUGAAAUUCGUAGAGAUUAGGAAGAACACCAGUGGCGAAGGCGACUUUCUGGACCGUAACUGACGCUGAGGCAUGAAAGCGUGGGUAGCAAAC
rnacentral:rRNA from 1 species